CUGUAAUAACAGUGGAGCAGAGGUUGUCUGGGCUGAUAGACAGGGAGGACUGUAAUAAGAGGUUGUCUGGGCUGAUAGACAGGGACUGUAAUAAGAGGUUGUCUGGGCUGAUAGACAGGGAGGACUGUAAUAAGAGGUUGUCUGGGCUGAUAGACAGGGAGGACUGUAAUAAGAGGUUGUCUGGGCUGAUAGACAGGGAGGACUGUAAUAAGAGGUUGUCUGGGCUGAUAGACAGGGAGGACUGUAACAAGAGGUUGUCUGGGCUGAUAGACAGGGAGGACUGUAAUAAGAGGUUGUCUGGGCUGAUAGACAGGGAGGACUGUAAUAACAGUGGAGCAGACAGGGAGGACUGUAAUAAGAAUGGAGCAGACAGGGAGGACUGUAAUAAGAAGUUGUCUGGGCUGAUAGACAGGGAGGACUGUAAUAACAGUGAGUUAGUGGAGCUGACAGGGAGGACUGUAAUAAGAGGUUGUCUGGGCUGAUAGACAGGGAGGACUGUAAUAAGAGGUUGUCUGGGCUGAUAGACAGGGAGGACUGUAAUAAGAGGUUGUCUGGGCUGAUAGACAGGGAGGACUGUAAUAAGAGGUUGUCUGGGCUGAUAGACAGGGAGGACUGUAAUAAGAGGUUGUCUGGGCUGAUAGACAGGGAGGACUGUAAUAAGAGGUUGUCUGGGCUGAUAGACGGGGAGGACUGUAAUAAGAGGUUGUCUGGGCUGAUAGAC
ensembl:lncRNA